AUCUACUAAGAUACCUACUUCAUUUCUAUGUCUCACACUACCCGAGUACCAUAUCCAUCCAUAUCUCUCACCUUAGUGCCUACCCAUUUAGUUUCCUGGACACACACUAGACUAACCCUCCUCUUUCUAAGAAUCUUUACCAGCUUUAUAUACUUACCUUGAGGAAACCCUAUGUUCUAGGACCUAACUCUCAACCUAGAUGCACUCUUAUCCUACUUAGCCUUGCUAC
rnacentral:lncRNA from 1 species